rnacentral:rRNA from 1 species
GAUGAACGCUGGCGGCGUGCCUAAUACAUGCAAGUCGAGCGAACAGACGAGGAGCUUGCUCCUCCGACGUUAGCGGCGGACGGGUGAGUAACACGUGGAUAACCUACCUAUAAGACUGGGAUAACUUCGGGAAACCGGAGCUAAUACCGGAUAAUAUAUUGAACCGCAUGGUUCAAUAGUGAAAGACGGUUUUGCUGUCACUUAUAGAGGUAUCCGCGCCGCAUUAGCUAGUUGGUAAGGUAACGGAUUACCAAGGCAACGAUGAGUAGCCGACCUGGAAGGGUGAUCGCCCAAACUGGAACUGAGCCACGGUCCAGAUUCCUACGGGAGGAAGAAGUAGGGAAUCUUCCGCAAUGGGCGAAAGCUUGCCGGAGCACCGCCGCGUGAGUGAUGAAGGUCUUCGGAUCGUAAACCUCUGUUAUUAGGGAAGAACAAAUGUGUAAGUAACUAUGCACGUAUUGACGGUACCUACUCAGAAAGCCACGGCUAACUACGUG